UACGUAGGGGGCAAGCGUUGUCCGGAAUUAUUGGGCGUAAAGCGCGCGCAGGCGGCGGUUUAAGUUUGGUGUUUAAGCCCGGGGCUCAACUCCGGUUCGCACUGAAAACUGGAUCGCUUGAGUGCAGGAGAGGGAAGUGGAAUUCCACGUGUAGCGGUGAAAUGCGUAGAGAUGUGGAGGAACACCAGUGGCGAAGGCGGCUCUUUGGUCUGUAACUGACGCUGAGGCGCGAAAGCGUGGGGAUCAAACAGG
rnacentral:rRNA from 1 species